GACAGAGGGUGCAAACGUUGUUCGGAAUUACUGGGCGUAAAGCGUGUGUAGGCGGUCCACUAAGUCGGGUGUGAAAGCCCUGGGCUCAACCCAGGAAGUGCACUCGAAACUGGCGGGCUAGAGUAUCGGAGAGGUUGGUGGAAUUCUCGGUGUAGAGGUGAAAUUCGUAGAUAUCGAGAGGAACACCAGUGGCGAAGGCGGCUCACUGGCCCGAUACUGACGCUGAUGUGCGAAAGCGUGGGGAGCAAACAGG
rnacentral:rRNA from 1 species